UACGGAGGGUGCAAGCGUUAUCCGGAUUCACUGGGUUUAAAGGGUGCGUAGGCGGGUAUAUAAGUCAGUGGUGAAAGCUCCGGGCUUAACUUGGGAACUGCCAUUGAUACUGUAUAUCUUGAAUAUCGUAGAGGUUAGCGGAAUGUUGCAUGUAGCGGUGAAAUGCUUAGAUAUGUUACAGAACACCAAUUGCGAAGGCAGCUAACUAUGCGAUGAUUGACGCUGAGGCACGAAAGCGUGGGGAGCAAACAGG
rnacentral:rRNA from 1 species